UUCUCUCAAUACAACGGAUCCUCAUAGGGCUCCUCCCCCUACCUCGGCCAUUUUGUGGACAGACGGUGGAGAGUCGCAGAAGUGUUCACAUUACUUCAGCCUUCACGACCAUAACCAGAUAACCUCUCACUCACACGCAUGAACCCUUGCAAGUAAUUGAACUGUGAAGAAUUAGCAGCAAUGAAUCUGAAAUAGUAUUAGUACAACCAUCACAACAGUCACCACUGCUAAAUACUACUACUACUACAACAGUGAAGUGGUGUCCAUUAGAGGUGGUGAGGCCAGAUGUUGAGAGAGGUCACUUUUCUCCUUAAGAUGUCUAGGACUUAGUGAUGGAGAGUCCGAGAGGAAGGUCACUUAGUAAGGAGUGCAAUGAAGAGCUCCAGCUUUCCUUGAAUUUCUUCUCUCCUCACUUACUUUACCAGAAUCAUCACAUUUAUAUUGUAAUGAUGUAAUAAAGAAAAAAUUGUACUGUAAUUAAUA